AGAGAGCAUAGGCGCGGAAUGGAAAGCCGCGUGCAAGCGAGGUAGGAGUCCUGUAGGAAAAACCGCAGGGCAAUCCGAAGGCGUGAUGCGGACCGAAAUCUAGUAGGGAAGUAUGUGAGCCAUGCGUCAAGAAAAGCCGCUAUUGUUCUUAUUGUACCCGUACCGUAAACCGACACAGGUGGAUGAGGAGAGAAUCCUAAGGCCGACGGAAGAAGCAUUGUUAAGGAACUCGGCAAAAUGACCCCGUAACUUCGGGAGAAGGGGUGCCACAGAAAUGUGGCCGCAGAGAAUAGGCUCAAGCAACUGUUUAGCAAAAACACAGGUCUAUGCAAAACCGAAAGGUGAGGUAUAUGGGCUGACGCCUGCCCGGUGCUGGAAGGUUAAGAGGAGAGGUUAGCGCAAGCGAAGCUUUGAAUUGAAGCCCCAGUAAACGGCGGCCGUAACGAUAACGGUCCUAAGGUAGCGAAAUUCCUUGUCGGGUAAGUUCUGACCCGCACGAAAGUCGUAAUGAUUUAAGCGCUGUCUCGACAAUGCAUCCGGUGAAAUUGAAGUACCAGUGAAGAUGCUGGUUACCUGCGCCAGGACGGAAAGACCCCAUGGAGCUUUACUCCAGCUUGAUACUGGGAUUCGGUAUUGCAUGUACAGGAUAGGUGGGAGGCUGAGAAAUGGUAACGCCAGUUGCCAUGGAGCCGCUGUUGGGACACCACCCUUGCAGUACUGGGUUUCUAACCAGCAGCCGUGACCCGGCUGGGGGACAAUGUCAGGUGGGGAGUUUGACUGGGGCGGUCGCCUCCGAAAGGGUAUCGGAGGCGCUCAAAGGUUCCCUCAGAAUGGUUGGAAACCAUUCGAAGAGUGCAAAGGCAGAAGGGAGCUUGACUGCGACACCGACGGGUGGAGCAGGUACGAAAGUAGGACUUAGUGAUCCGGUGGUAUUAAGUGGGAAUGCCAUCGCUCAACGGAUAAAAGCUACCCUGGGAUAACAGGCUUAUCACUCCCAAGAGUUCACAUCGACGGAGUGGUUUGGCACCUCGAUGUCGGCUCAUCGCAUCCUGGGGCUGUAGUAGGUCCCAAGGGUUGGGCUGUUCGCCCAUUAAAGCGGUACGCGAGCUGGGUUCAGAACGUCGUGAGACAGUUCGGUCCCUAUCCGGCGUGGGCGUAGGAUAUCUGAGAGGAGCUGUCCUUAGUACGAGAGGACCGGGAUGGACGGACCGCUGGUGUACCUGUUGCAGUGCCAGCUGCAUGGCAGGGUAGCCAAGUCCGGAAGGGAUAAACGCUGAAGGCAUCUAAGCGUGAAGCCCCCCUCAAGAUGAGAUAUCCCAUUCGAAAGAAGUAAGACCCCUUGAAGACGACGAGGUAGAUAGGGCAGAGGUGGAAGUGCAGUAAUGUAUGGAGCUGACUGUUACUAAUCGGUCGAGGGUUUGACCA
rnacentral:rRNA from 1 species